rnacentral:tRNA from 1 species
GAGAAUAAUCGACAGUUUUUGAUCCGCUAAAUCUAAAAACCUGCAGUUAAAUUCUGUAGUAUUCUCGAU